rnacentral:rRNA from 1 species
UACGUAGGGGGCUAGCGUUGUCCGGAAUCAUUGGGCGUAAAGCGCGUGUAGGCGGCCCGGUAAGUCCGCUGUGAAAGUCGGGGGCUCAACCCUCGGAUGCCGGUGGAUACUGUCGGGCUUGAGUACGGAAGAGGCGAGUGGAAUUCCUGGUGUAGCGGUGAAAUGCGCAGAUAUCAGGAGGAACACCAAUUGCGGAGGCAGCUCGCUGGGACGUUACUGACGCUGAGACGCGAAAGCGUGGGGAGCAAACAGG